rnacentral:lncRNA from 1 species
AGAAACAAAAAACUGACCUUGGCGAUGUAAAGCUGUCCCUCUGAAAACAUGUAGUAAAAUGGCUGCUAACUUUAAGCGUCUUAUUUUUGGAUGACGUAGGUAGGGGGGAGCGAAGAGUUGUGGGCGUUUAGCCAAUGCGAAGUGAUUUUCGUCAUCUGUAACUCGUCUCCUAUUAUCGGAGGGCGCCGGAAACCUCGUGAAUCGUGUUAAGAGCUCAAAAAAUGGCGCUUGGCUUGCUCUUAACACGAUUCACGAGGUUUCCGGCCCCCUCCGAUAAUAGGAGACGAGUUACAGAUGACGAAAAUCACUUCGCAUUGGCUAAACGCCCACAACUCUUCGCUCCCCCCUACCUACGUCAUCCAAAAAUAAGACGCUUAAAGUUAGCAGCCAUUUUACUACAUGUUUUCAGAGGGACAGCUUUACAUCGCCAAGUGAUCUGAUUACUAAAUAUGCUUCUUACGAGUGCCGAAUGCAAUCCAGUUGAAGUCUGUUCGUUGUGAAGGGAGAAAAUUCUCAUGACUAUAUUGCUGAACACAUGUGGUUUGUGAGACAUGAUAUCGACAUGAAAUUGCUACUUGAAUAACAGUAUCGAUGCAAUUCUUGGAUGCAAUGGAAGAAACUACGGUAAAAUUUCUGCAAAAAUACAGAAUUUUGCUGAAAAUUUUUCUGAAGGGAACAAAGAGGAAAUGCGUUUUCAGACAGCCGCUGUUGCCGAAGAUUGCACAAAGCCGAGUAUCCACAAUUCUCUGAUAUUUUUUAAGUGAAAACAGAUCGGUGUGUACUUCGAAGAAGAAUAACGAAUAUAUAUAAAGAUUCGAAGAAGAAUGGACAUUAGGUUAUUUCGAAGUAGGAGACAUGAAAAAUGUGCAAUACUCUCGCCGGGACUCUAACCCCGGAACUCUCAAAUAUUCGCAGAGUGGGCUGACCAUUACACAACGAAGGCAUGCUAUGAAGGCGGGAGAAAUACCUUAUACUGUAUAUAAUUUUAUGCUAGUGUAUAGUUAUACACGAUUAAAAAUGUGAACUUAUUAGCAUAUCUCUAUAUACAUUCAUUAAUGUGUCGAUUAAUGUUAUAUUUGUGUAAUGUGCUUGCAGGGUUCUAAGAUAAUUCUGUCUUCGUUUCGUUCAUAAAAAUGUAAUUUUAAUGUCUGAGUGUAUAAUUUUUCCAAACUGGCUGAUUAAAAUUUCAAGAAAUCUGACGAAUUGUAUAAACAGUAUUAUUUCGUAAAAUGAAUAAUUUUUGUGUUUCUGCCAUAAAAACCUUUAGAAAAAGAAUUAAGCUUUCAAUCGUAUAAAAAUUUCGACUCAUGAGUUUUCAUUGUCUCAGAUAAAAUUACAGCAAUUAGAUAUUGACUGAAAUACAUUCACCCAUUAAAAUUUGUAAAUGUAUAUUAUUAUAUAAAAUUUAAAUGCAUAAUUAUGGAUACUUACAAAUUUUAACUUAUAAAUAUAUUUCUAUCUAUCUUUAUGAAUGUUAAGAAAACAUUACGCAUUUACAGGAUUUGUAGAUAAUUUCAUUUUAAAAAAAUCAUCUUUAGUAGUUAAAAUAUUUUAAUAUGGAAUUAAAAUUCAAAGUAAACAGAAUUUUGAGUUAGAAAUGAAGUAAAAUUAACAUGUGCCCUCGUAGGGUAUUAAAUCUGACUCUUCCACUUAUUCGAAAAGUGUUCUGACAGUUCAUUAUAAAAGUGUAUGAAAGGAAAUGUCUUACAAAUAUUUAAUAUGGGUUUCCUUCAAUAUU